GAAAGCGGAAUCGGGUGCUCCAACAUUUUGAUUCAAAUUCACAUAAAAUGAUUAUCUAUCACACACUGUUUUAUUGAUUUAAGAUACCGUUACAAUUUCGAUGGGGCAAGUUUCUCUUCUCUUGCGGACGUGGAAGCCUCCUGCUGGGCUCUCCUCUUAGGGCUACGAGUAGGUGGAUGUGGGCUCUUGUGCAAUCUUAUUUUGGGCUUGUAAAGUUGUGCAAUCUAUCCCUAUAGGCUUCAGGGAAGGGCCUACCAGAUGGGAUAUUCAAGCUGAAUCCUUCACUUUCAAAUGUUGGUUUUCAUCAGCAGUUCUUGCAGGAGCAAUUCCCAUCAUUAAAAUCAUGAAACCUUUUUGAAUCUCUUAAGAGGAAAGCCCUUCCAGUAGCUUGAGACACAAGCUUCAUAAACUCAUCGCAAUCGCCGCAAACACGAACGUUCUUUACAAAUUAUAAUCCUUAAGGGUAUCCUUCCAUUAGGUUUUUUUGUUAAACCAAAUGCAAGAGCAAGUUUCUCACCGUGAUAACAGAUGGAAUCAAACUUCUCCUCCCCAACAUUGUGAAGAACCACUUUCGUAUUGGGAGUAAAACCGAAUUCCUGCAAAGCUAGGGUUGGGUUUGUGGUUUGGCCUGGGAGAAGAUUCUUUGUUGCACGAUAAAAUAUUUUUCAAAAUCUGAUUUCCAAAGUACCCUCCAUCUAUGUUUAUAUAUAUGUAAAUGAGUUCAUAAUUUUUUUAAUAUGUUGGUGGCAUACGUUAAGUGAUGAUAUUAACCCAGUAUAAAAUGAGUGAAAAGUAAAGUUGAUAAGUCAAGAUUAAAUAGACUGGCAUGCUAAUUUGUUCAUGGGACCGGAUAUGUUCACAUUUGCCAUAACUUAGUACUGUCGGCAAUUCCCAAGUCACUCCUCCUCAACGAGUGAUCAUGCAUAUCUCACACUGAACAGUCAACGCUCCAUCCCUGCUUAAUAUUUCAACUCAUUAGGGUUUCGCGUUCAUAUCUUCUCACCGGUUUUUCUAGUAUGCACUACGUACUUAUGACAUACCAAAUUUCGUUGAAUUCUUGAUCAUUGGAUCAUUGAUUACGUUAUUCAGCUUUUUACGGUUUCGACGUACGUCGUGUACCGAUGUAUGAUAAAGAUUUUGCUGUGCAGCUCCUGUACUCAUCACACAGCUGAGCCUGAAAGCGAGUUUGUCCUUCGGAAUAAAGUGAAACUGAUGUCACGCAGCUGCUGGGUGGCAUGGCCCCCAUGCAAGAGUCAAAGAGUGUAAAAUGGUCAUUGGGUCCCUCGACCUUGCAUGCAUGGAUUGGGGUCCUACUGAUCAUCCUUUUUUCCUUCCAAUUAUUCAUUUUUAUUUUUCUUAUUUGUUUCAAGAUUUAGCAGAAGUCAGAAAAUAUAUAUCACCAAAAGUAUGGCUUGGCCUUACUGUCACCAGGAAAAAGGGAAGGCAAUGGCAAAACACAUUAAAAAAAACACUGUUUCUUCAGCUUUUCCAUAUCGUAUUCGUAUGGCUUUUUUGGCCUUUUUCCCUCUCGUUUUGAAGUGCUUGAAAGUUGACACACUGACCCCAAUCUAUUCAGUUUUUAUUUUCUCCAUUAGCAAGUGGGAUUAUUGGGGCUGUACACGGUACAUGUUUGAAUCCUGAAUGUAAUUAUCACCAAGUCUCGAGUGUUAUCUGACUCUCGAGACUUGAUGAAUAUAAGGUUGAUUAGAAAGUGUUGCAUUACACAUUUUAUUUAUGGGCUAAGCACUUUUUUAGGGUAUAACUUCAAUAAGAAGUAAUAUUGAAUUACGACAUGGAUAAUCAUAGUUGUGUCAAAAUAUCUGAUAUAUUAUAUUGGGUGAAACAACUAGGAAUGUGAGAAAUCACAUCCCACAUUUGAGAUUUUCUCAGUAUAUGAUUUAGUAUAUAAUGAUAGCGAGCACUCUUGUAGCCCAUAUAGUUUGCAUUUGUAAAGAGUUGUAAGACAACAAUAAAGUGUGGUAUUACGAUACUAACAUAGGAUAUAAUCAAUUCACGUAUUGUAUAUGUAUAUUAACUACAUAUAGAUAUGAAUAAAAAGUCAUAUUAUGUGACGUUAUUUCACUAUACUGACUAAUAAUUUCUCUUCAAUUUUAAAUGACAAUGAUAGGCAAUAGUAAAACAUACUUAAAAGUCCAAAAGAACAUCUCACCUGUCUCCUUUUUGGCGUGGACAUUGAGCACUUACUUUAUUUUUAAUCUUUUGGAAGCAUGUGGACUAAUUUUUAAUGUGGUUUGUUUGAAAUUGCUUUUGAAAUGGCUAAAAACGUUUUUAGAGAAUAUUUUUGCGUUUUAAAAACACUUCAAGCCCUUCUUUUAAAAUUUACUUGCAUUUUAUUAAGAAUUUUCCAAAGAUAUUUUUAUAAAAAAUAAAAUAAAAAUAUUUCAAUCAACUAAAAGAACUUACAAACCAGCCCUACAUAACUAGGAAAUGACGAGAUACCGUACUCUAAUAAUGAAGAAACAUCUUUGCUUCUUUGUUAAAUGUUUUAUGCGUCAUAGGCUUCCCACAUAUCUUGUUGAAUAGAAAAGGCAAUCUGUCUAGUGGUGGUGGAGGAAUAAAAAAAUGUCGGACAUGUAUUUUUUUUUCCACAACUUUCAUCAAAGUUAUACAAAUGGCCAAGCCUACAAAGACGUCGGCAACCUAUCCUUCUAAUUUCUAAUGGAAAAAAUGAUGCUGACGGCAUAACAAAAAUAUUCCCUUCUCUUCCAUUCAGCAGGUUAUUUUGGUGGGGCAGAGUACAACCAUCUUGGAUGAUUAAGUGUAUUGAGUGUUACAACUCAUGUUCAAAGGAUGAAAUGUGAGUGGAAAUGCCUGCAAAAAUCAAAGUUUUCGGCUUUCAAUUUUGUUGUGACAUACUCAUCGAUUGUGAAAUGAAAAUUUCUUGACAUAUCCUUGAUUAUUUUCAAUGUACGGAAGCAACACAAUAAUUCUCAUAUAUAUGGAUCAUUGUCAUCGACAUGAAAUCAUAUUUUGACAUUUUUAACAUGGAAUCAUUGGAACCGUAUCACGAAAAGUGAAGAGAGAGAGUAACUACUGAAAAGGACUUGCAGCUCGAUGAGCGCUUAAGAGAAUUUACUCAAACACUCGACCUUUAGAGUCAAAUAUUCGUCCCCUAAUAUAACCUGCAUCAAAGAAAAUUUGAUUGCAAAUCUAAUGAAACUUACAAUCUUUUCACUACUUCCACAUUAUAAUUAGUGAAUGAAAAGUAACAGAUGCAAAAGACUUGUAACUCAAGUAAUUAAAAAAUGGAUAGUACUUAUAUUCCUCUGUUUAUAGCAUAACUCUAUCGUAGAAAUUUCAUAAACGGAACCGUUCUAAUUUGUCGUAGAAUUGAACGGUUCCAAUUAUAAAAAUUUGUUGGGCUUUAAAGUAUUGACGGGUUGACCCACCUACUAGGGCGAUACAUGGACCCAAUAGUUAUUUUCUUUCGUUUUCUCCUUUUUUUCUAAAUUAUGUCAAUGAAAUACAGAGGACCAAAGCUACCUACAAGAUUCUGCCGACUGUUACCUACAGAUUACAUGAGCCAAUAGGAGCUUGCCGCCCCAGAUUCUGAUUAAAAAAUACGUGUUCUGAGCCGUCAGAUCAAUGCAGUCACAUUCUGCCAACCUUUAUUGGGUGGAUCACUGUCAUGGGGUCAAAGUUCAAGGUUCUUCUCCUGUCUUGAUAUACACGUGGCUGUGAAAAGUUGUGCGGUGUUGUGACCUUAUGGUGAGGAGCAGUGUAGGGACAUCAGGAUUUGCGGCGUCUACGGAGUCUCGGGCGGUCGCACGUGGGUAUCAAUUCAACGAUCAAACCCACGUGUGGAACUCCUCCCCGACACCACCUGUAUAUUCUCCUAAACCCACAAAAAGCCCAUCUUAUUAUUUCCCAAAUCUAGUUUAAGUUAUUAUUAUUAUUAUUUUGUUUAUUGAGGAAAGAUUAUAAAACUAACUCACAACAACAACCACCACGGAGUGGUCAAAUGGUUGGAUAAAUUUCAGGCUUGUAUUUCAUACGGCGCGUCAUGAGUUCGAUUCCUGACGCUGAUGAAUUGCAUGAUGGUGGCUAGAGGAGGCUGAAAUGUCUCUGUGAGUCUUUUUGACCUUUGAAAUGGUGGAGUCGGUGGACUGCAGUGACAAAGGCACCAGCUGGUCCCUUAAAAAAAAAAAAACCCCACGAAAACCCGAAGUGAUUGAAAUUAAAAAACAAAAUAAUUGAAAGCGGAAUCGGAUGCUCCAACAUUUUGAUUCAAAUUGACAAAAAAUGAUUAUCUAUCAUACAUUGUUUUAUUGGUUUAAGAUACCGUUACACUUUCGAUGGGCAAGCUUCUCUUCUCUUGCGGACGCGGAAGCCUCCUGCCGGGCUCUCCUCUUAGGGCUACGAGUAGAUGGAUGUGGGCUCUUGUGCAAUCUUACUUUGGGCUUGUAAAGUUGUGACACUUCCUUUCAAUGGAUUGGGCUUAAGAUGGAUCUGUCCCUAUAGGCUUCAGUGGAGGGCCUACCAAAUGGGAUAUCCAAGCUGAAUCCUUCACUUUCAAAUGUUGGUUUUCAUCAGCUUGCAGGAGCAAUUCCCAUCAUUAACAUCAUGAAACCUUUUCGAAUCUCUUAAGAGGAAAGCCCUUCCAUAGCUUGGGACACAAGCUUCAUAAACUCAUCGCAAUCGCCUCAAACACGAACGUUCUUUAUAAAUUAUAAUCCUUAAGGGUAUCCUUCCAUUAGGUUUUUUUGUUAAACCAAAUGCAAGAGCAAGUUUCUC
rnacentral:lncRNA from 1 species